CAGGAAGUAGUUUAAAAUAGAAUG
rnacentral:tRNA from 1 species